rnacentral:rRNA from 1 species
GCCCUACGGGGUGCAGCAGGCGCGAAAACUUUACAAUGCUGGGAACAGCGAUAAGGGGACAUCGAGUGCCAGCUUCCAAAUUUGGCUGUCCAGAUGUCUAAAUAGCAUAAUAUAGCAAGGGCCGGGCAAGACCGGUGCCAGCCGCCGCGGUAACACCGGCGGCUCGAGUGGUAACCGUUAUUAUUGGGUCUAAAGGGUCUGUAGCCGGCCGGAUAAGUCUCUUGGGAAAUCUGGCAGCUCAACUGUCAGGCUUUCAGGGGAUACUGUCUGGCUCGAGGCCGGGAGAGGUGAGAGGUACUUCAGGGGUAGGGGUGAAAUCUUGUAAUCCUUGAAGGACCACCAGUGGCGAAGGCGUCUCACCAGAACGGACCUGACGGCAAGGGACGAAAGCUAGGGGCACGAACCGGAUUAGAUACCCGGGUAGUCCUAGCCGUAAACGAUACUCGCUAGGUGUCGGCCACGGUGCGACCGUUGUCGGUGCCGUAGGGAAGCCGUGAAGCGAGCCACCUGGGAAGUACGGCCGCAAGGCUGAAACUUAAAGGAAUUGGCGGGGGAGCACCACAACGGGUGGAGCUUGCGGUUUAAUUGGAUUCAACGCCGGAAAUCUUAC